GUGGGGAAUCUUCCGCAAUGGACGAAAGUCUGACGGAGCAACGCCGCGUGAGUGAAGAAGGUUUUCGGAUCGUAAAGCUCUUUCGUUAGGGACGAACGUGCUCUUUGUGAAUAAUGAGGAGUAAUGACGGUACCUAAAUAAGAAGCCACGGCUAACUACGUGCCAGCAGCCGCGGUAAUACGUAGGUGGCAAGCGUUGUCCGGAAUUAUUGGGCGUAAAGCGCGCGCAGGCGGGAUAUCAAGUCUGUCUUAAAAGUGCGAGGCUCAACCUCGUGAGGGGACAGAAACUGGUAUUCUUGAGUGUCGGAGAGGAAAGUGGAAUUCCAAGUGUAGCGGUGAAAUGCGUAGAGAUUUGGAAGAACACCAGUGGCGAAGGCGACUUUCUGGACGAUGUCUGACGCUGAGGCGCGAAAGCUAGGGGAGCAAACAGGAUUAGAAACCCCAGUAGUCC
rnacentral:rRNA from 1 species